rnacentral:rRNA from 1 species
GACGUAGGAUGCGAGCGUUGUCCGGAAUUAUUGGGCGUAAAGCGUCCGUCGGCGGUCCAGUAAGUCUGGGGUUAAAGACCGAGGCUCAACCUCGGGAGUGCCCUGGAUACUGUUGGGCUGGAGGGUGGAAGAGGGAAGUGGAAUUCCGAGUGUAGCGGUGAAAUGCGUAGAUACUCGGAGGAACACCGGUGGCGAAAGCGACUUCCUGGUCCAUUCCUGACGCUGAGGUACGAAAGCCAGGGGAGCAAACGGG